GCUCUUCGGAGGGACGUUGUAUGGAUGCAACCGUCCCAUGGCUACCAGGCAGGAAAUUCUGUAGGUUGUCCUAAGGGUUCCAGUCAGCAGCGGCAUAGAGAUGAAGAGGGCACUGAACCGCAGGCGCGCAUGCUCUCCUGGGAGUCCCACCUUUCUCCUUUGAGCAGGGUGAACGUCGAAGCUCUUCCUUGACGGGGAUUUUACAGCUCUUCAUUCUAAAGAAGAAAGAUCGUCUGGAGCCAGAAUGCAUGUGUGGUCGUCGAGUGUGCCCGGGACUGUAAACCUGCAGAGAGGCUUUCACAGUGGCAGAAAGGAGAACAGAAAGGUCACAGGCAUGCUCAAAACCCACUUCCUUCAUCCUCUCUUCUUCCCUUCUCUUAAAAAAGGAAAUAAUCGCAGUGUACGCCUUUAAACCCAGCACAA